rnacentral:misc_RNA from 1 species
AGAAAAUAGGACAUUUUCAACACGGCUAGUCCCUCUUUUAUCGUUUAAGAGAAGAAAUAAAAGGAAUGUUAUCAGACAGAAGGUGACAUGUUUCAUUGUGAAGUAAUUUUAGUGUAUGUUAGUGUUAGGAACACUUUUAUCGUAAAAAGAUCAGACGUUUCUAUGUGUUCUUUUUUUUCAAAAAAGUUUUUUCUCCAUCUUUACACAUUGUGUUUUAUUUUCAGUAUGUAAUUCAUUUUCUUUACAAACCUAUUUACAUUCUAUUCUGUGUUUGCAAAACAUGUAAUUCAUAAGAUAAAACUUUUUCCUCUUUGUUACAAUGUAACAAAGACGUUCAAGCUUAAUCUGAUUUAAUAAGUUGUUAACUUAUUUCAAUUAGAUUGAUUUCUAUCAUAAUGUGCAUAAAAUAAAGAUUGCAUACCCUCUUGUCAUAUUCCUAAAAUCAUAAAACAUCUUCCUGUAAAACCCAUCAAACCGUGUAUAUGUAUAUGGUAUAAAUUUGAAUUCCCGAUGUACGUAUAAAUUUACAAGAUUGUAUGCAAGCAAAGCAAUUAUUGCCUAACAAUAAAUAGUUGAAAAGCCUCAGAAUAUAGCUUGUGUAGUCUAUAGAUGUGUAUGGGUAAACAGUUUAAAAAAUGUAUUAAGUUAAAAUAGAUACAACAGUGAUUCGGGGUAAAAUGCAUGUCUGCAUACGGAAGUAGAAAACCAAAUCGCAUAAAACUGUGUAACAGUUGAAAAUGGAGUAGAUCGUAAGAAACGAUUCAACUUUUGAAUAUAUUCUGUUUUCUUCAUAUGAAAAAGUUAAACUGUGAGCAUGAAACUAAUGAUUUAAAAUGGCCUUGUCUUAUCUCGGAUUUUGAUGCAUGAGGAAAUAUAAUUUAAUAAAUGUUUUCGACUGUACUGUAAGACUUUAGGAUACAGACAGUGCAUGCUAUUUGGGUUGUAAUUGACACUAGGAAUGUGACAUAUAAGUGGUUAACUAAGAACUUUCUGAUUAAUUCUUUUAAUUAAUUUGUGUCUUUUUUAAUUUAUUUUCUGCUGAUUCCCGUCUUGAUGAUUUACACGUGCACUCUAAUAAGUUUCAAUAAAAUAUGUAUAUCAACGCGCGAAACCAAGUUAGUUUCCUAUCGGUGAAAAUUAAUUGCACGAAUGCAAGAAUCUACCUUUACUUUGAGAGAAUACAGCUUAACAUCAAUGAAGUUUGAUGAGAGUGAUAAGAGAUAGGCCAAUGCACUUUAACUGGCGAGAGUGACCGUGAAUAUAUCGAUGGUCCAGUGCAGGCCUAGGUCAUUAAAAAUAUUCAUGACAACCAUAAAAUUACUUAACUGUUUACUUAUAAGAGCAAUAUUGUUGAUCAACGCAAUUAAAGUGUAUUAACAUUUUACAUUACCUGCACUUUCUUUUGUUCCUUUGUUUUUCAACAGACUUAGUGGUUAUACUUUCGGUGUAACUUUAUACAAAACUUAAUAUUCCUAUCUUUUUUUUUCUUUUGUGGGGGGGGGGGGGGGGGGAGGGUGUGUGGUGUAUUUAGAUAUUGAUCACCUCUUUCCCACUCUCAAUACUCUUUCAAUACAACUAUUGUUAUUGGAUUAAUUAUUUCUGCCUAUUUAUCUUUUUAUCUGUUCAUUUUUCUAAUUUUAUUCAAUAUGGGUAGUAAUAAUACUACACAUGAUAUCAAAACUUAAAUUUUAAAAUAUAUAUCUAGAUGUGCUUGUUGAAAAAUUGUUCACAAAGGUGUGAAGAACCUUAAACGAUUCGGUACAGUGACAUUACUAUCACAAAUGGCUUUUCGAAGUCAUUUGUGGUUACCAAACACAUCAUUUGAUUCAAUAAGAGCAUGAAAAUG